rnacentral:rRNA from 1 species
GUAGGGAAUUUUCGGCAAUGGACGAAAGUCUGACCGAGCAACGCCGCGUGAACGAAGAAGUAUUUCGGUAUGUAAAGUUCUUUUAUCAGGGACGAAAAUACAUUGACGGUACCUGAUGAAUAAGCUCCGGCUAACUACGUGCCAGCAGCCGCGGUAAUACGUAGGGAGCGAGCGUUAUCCGGAAUUAUUGGGCGUAAAGGGUGCGUAGACGGCAAUACAAGUCUUUUGUUAAAGUGCUAAGCUCAACUUAGUGAUGCAAAAGAUACUGUAUAGCUAGAGUAUGGAAGAGGCAAGUGGAACUCCAUGUGUAGCGGUAAAAUGCGUAAAUAUAUGGAAGAACACCAGUGGCGAAGGCGGCUUGCUGGUCCGAUACUGACGUUGAGGCACGAAAGCGUGGGGAGCAAACAGGAUUAGAUACCCUAGUAGUCC